GACGAACGCUGGCGGCGUGCUUAACACAUGCAAGUCGAGCGGUAAGGCCCUUUCGGGGGUACACGAGCGGCGAACGGGUGAGUAACACGUGGGUGACCUGCCCUCAGCUCUGGGAUAAGCCUGGGAAACCGGGUCUAAUACUGGAUAUGACUCCAUGACGCAUGUUGUGGGGUGGAAAGCCUUGUGCGGCUGAGGAUGGGCCCGCGGCCUAUCAGCUUGUUGGUGGGGUGANGGCCUACCAAGGCGACGACGGGUAGCCGGCCUGAGAGGGCGACCGGCCACACUGGGACUGAGACACGGCCCAGACUCCUACGGGAGGCAGCAGUGGGGAAUCUUGCGCAAUGGGC
rnacentral:rRNA from 1 species